AGAGUUUGAUCAUGGCUCAGAUUGAACGCUGGCGGCAGGCUUAACACAUGCAAGUCGAACGGUAACAGGAGAGAGCUUGCUUUCUUGCUGACGAGUGGCGGACGGGUGAGUAAUGCUUGGGAAUCUGGCUUAUGGAGGGGGAUAACGACGGGAAACUGUCGCUAAUACCGCGUAGAGUCGAGAGACGAAAGUGCGGGACCGCAAGGCCGCAUGCCAUAGGAUGAGCCCAAGUGGGAUUAGGUAGUUGGUGGGGUAAUGGCCUACCAAGCCGACGAUCUCUAGCUGGUCUGAGAGGAUGACCAGCCACACCGGGACUGAGACACGGCCCGGACUCCUACGGGAGGCAGCAGUGGGGAAUAUUGCGCAAUGGGGGCAACCCUGACGCAGCCAUGCCGCGUGAAUGAAGAAGGCCUUCGGGUUGUAAAGUUCUUUCGGUGACGAGGAAGGCGUGAUGUUUAAUAGGCAUCACGAUUGACGUUAAUCACAGAAGAAGCACCGGCUAACUCCGUGCCAGCAGCCGCGGUAAUACGGAGGGUGCGAGCGUUAAUCGGAAUAACUGGGCGUAAAGGGCACGCAGGCGGCUAUUUAAGUGAGGUGUGAAAUCCCCGGGCUUAACCUGGGAAUUGCAUUUCAGACUGGGUAGCUAGAGUACUUUAGGGAGGGGUAGAAUUCCACGUGUAGCGGUGAAAUGCGUAGAGAUGUGGAGGAAUACCGAAGGCGAAGGCAGCCCCUUGGGAAUGUACUGACGCUCAUGUGCGAAAGCGUGGGGAGCAAACAGGAUUAGAUACCCUGGUAGUCCACGCUGUAAACGCUGUCGAUUUGGGGAUUGGGCCUUGAGCUUGGUGCCCGAAGCUAACGUGAUAAAUCGACCGCCUGGGGAGUACGGCCGCAAGGUUAAAACUCAAAUGAAUUGACGGGGGCCCGCACAAGCGGUGGAGCAUGUGGUUUAAUUCGAUGCAACGCGAAGAACCUUA
rnacentral:rRNA from 1 species